rnacentral:rRNA from 1 species
GCAAGUCGAACGGCAGCAUGAUCUAGCUUGCUAGAUUGAUGGCGAGUGGCGAACGGGUGAGUAAUACAUCGGAACGUGCCCUGUAGUGGGGGAUAACUAGUCGAAAGAUUAGCUAAUACCGCAUACGACCUGAGGGUGAAAGUGGGGGACCGCAAGGCCUCAUGCUAUAGGAGCGGCCGAUGUCUGAUUAGCUAGUUGGUGGGGUAAAGGCCCACCAAGGCGACGAUCAGUAGCUGGUCUGAGAGGACGAUCAGCCACACUGGGACUGAGACACGGCCCAGACUCCUACGGGAGGCAGCAGUGGGGAAUUUUGGACAAUGGGCGAAAGCCUGAUCCAGCAAUGCCGCGUGUGUGAAGAAGGCCUUCGGGUUGUAAAGCACUUUUGUCCGGAAAGAAAUCGCACCUGAUAAUACCGGGUGUGGAUGACGGUACCGGAAGAAUAAGGACCGGCUAACUACGUGCCAGCAGCCGCGGUAAUACGUAGGGUCCAAGCGUUAAUCGGAAUUACUGGGCGUAAAGCGUGCGCAGGCGGUUGUGCAAGACCGAUGUGAAAUCCCCGAGCUUAACUUGGGAAUUGCAUUGGUGACUGCACGGCUAGAGUGUGUCAGAGGGGGGUAGAAUUCCACGUGUAGCAGUGAAAUGCGUAGAGAUGUGGAGGAAUACCGAUGGCGAAGGCAGCCCCCUGGGAUAACACUGACGCUCAUGCACGAAAGCGUGGGGAGCAAACAGGAUUAGAUACCCUGGUAGUCCACGCCCUAAACGAUGUCAACUAGUUGUUGGGGAUUCAUUUCCUUAGUAACGUAGCUAACGCGUGAAGUUGACCGCCUGGGGAGUACGGUCGCAAGAUUAAAACUCAAGGAAAUUGACGGGA